UUGAACAACAGUUUGAACUGCAAAGGUCCACCUGAUUUUUUUCUACCUCUGCCACCUCUGAAACAGCAAGAUCAGCCCUUGCUCUUCCUUCUCCUCCUACUCAACAUGAAGGCAUGAAGACGAAGACUUUAUAAUGAUCCAUUUUUACUUAAUAAGCAGUUACAUGAAAUUGUGAACUGCUAAAAUUCCUAAACAUUCCAUGCGUAAACUACUGUCAAGGAUGGUCUUUUGGAGGCCAACUUAAUUUUUCUGGGGGUUAGGACGAGGUGAAAAAAGAGGAAAAAGAAGUGAUAAUGAAGAUGACAGAAGAAAGAUGAAGAAAAGGAGAAGGAGGUAAG